AACACACUAGAUGUGAUCAAAGCUGGACCUCUUCAAAGCAGAGCAGCAUAUGGGAUCUUAAAUCAUGAAGACGGACUUCGAGAGGUAGUUGACAAGCAAGAGAGUGGAAUUUGCAUCUUGGUUAAGCAGUUGGGAGACUUUUCUGCCAAUUAUAGUCAUUAAACACUGACUCAACAUCAAACAACUGCACGAGGAGUUAGAGCCUUCAUUCACGGACAAGUUUCAAAAGCACGGAGCACCACCUGUCGCGGGCAAUUUCAUCAGAACAGAGGAGAGUGGAUCUCACUCCCAAGAAGAUGGCUGCUUUCUGGAGAGGUGGCGGAAGCCGGUAUUUCCUAACACGGUGACAUUGUGAAGUGCCUUUUGCAGCCCUUCACAGCUUCAUUGUCCAAAGGGCUUGUUUUUACAUGGCAUUCGUAGACUUUUAAUUCUGUCCCUGCUGCCUGUGUCACUUCUAGAGGACACUGGAUUUGGGAAGAGAGAGACCUCCUCACCUGUGGGGAGAGAAGAGAUCGGGGGCCAGUGGCUUUUAGGUCUGGCCAUGCGGGCGUCCUGUUGGAACAUCCCGCCUUCCUCCCCAGUAAGGUGCACUCUGCUCUGUGAAGAACCCAGGCAGGAAGGAAGAGGCCUAUGAGUUCACAGUGGAGUGCAGCUCAGCAGGACUUUCAGCGACUCCACGACUCUUGUCCCAUCUGACCACUCGCCACAACCUAUUUUCAUCUGUAGUGUCUGCCAUCCCUGUUAGUUCAUGGGCUCCCUGGGGGCAGGAGGCACGUCUGUCCUAGUCACCAUCAAAACUGUCUUAGUACCUGUCACAGUGCCUCACACAGAGCAGUUAAUCCGUAAAUGUGUGUUGAGUAAAUCAACUAUAAACGUUGAAAUGAUUGCCUUAAAAAGGUCUUCACCCUUGUUGGGAUGUGAGAGUUCCAUGACAAAUGCCUGUGUGCUGGGGAAGGAAGGGGCACUGUUGGGUAAUGAUAAGAGCUAGAAACAUGUGGGCGAGCCCUGGCAAAUAGCCCCCCAAAGUGCACACUGUACAUGCAAGAGGGAGCCACUGCAGGGUCUUCAGGUCACCCAUAGGAAAGGACAAGUGGGUGGAGGCUCUACAGGCUGAAAGGUGUGUUUGGUCUGGAAGACGAGCAGGAUCCCAGGAGAACCAUGAGUCUUAGAGUGGCCUAAUCACAGCAUAAGUUCAAGAGACAACUUUUGUGGCUGAGGGCUGAAUAUUUCGGCUGGUGUGUGUCAAGAAACCAGCAAGAAUUCUAGUGCAUGCUGCUCCCAUGUGACCUCAGAGAGCUGACAGACAAUGUAAUGGCAGAGGCAGGGACCAGUGUAGUCAAGGCAGAAAAUGGCCAGGGAGGAACCGGUCUCCUGGGAACUCACUCAACAAGACCAGAGGCCCAGGAGUCUGGUGUUGUGUGGUGUGGAAGGUAGCAGUGAAACCAAAAAGGAAUUUCUCUUUCUCCAAAGAGAGCCUCCUGAGGGCAGAGGACUUGUCUUAUGCGUCUGCACCCACAGCUGUAGGCAGAGUGCCUUGCACGUGGUAGCUGCUCAAUAAAUGCCUGAUGCGAGAAUGCUCAGCUGGUGGGCCGGCUCUGGCAGGCACGGGUGAUGUGAGAGCUUGGAGAGGCAGCUGAAGCCUCGCUAUUGUCCUCUCUCCUCCAACUUCCUCAACCUACCCAUCUGUGUUGCCGUACCUCUCCUUAAAGCCAGAUGUUCCCAAAGAUUGCUGCUCUCUACAUGGACAGCAGGUGGUGACUAAGGCAACUGGUGCAGCCUGAAGGGCCAUUCCCUUCCUCCUCCUCUGGGUCCCAGGAUCCUGUAGGAUUCCACUCAGCCCCUCAGCCAGCUCUCAGACGGUCGUUCACAUUCCCUGCUAGUCUUUCUCCCUUUCAUCUCAUCUCAGCAGGCAGGGACAUGUCGCUGCUGGAAGCCUGGUGUUAGCAGACAUGCACACAUCACACACACACACACCUCUCCCUGUCUCUGAGCCAUCGUCUGGCCCUCUGCCCCAGGCCUGGUCCAUCUUUAUGAGAACCAGGCUCUUCCUAUCCCGGGAUGCUGAAUCUGGCCUCCGACGGGAGGGAGGGAGCCUUUGCAUGUCUGCAGUGUUGCCCUCCCUCGGGGGCUUGGGGAAGAUCCACCCAUAUGGCAGAACCUUCCAAAGAGACGCGAAACCGGGAGCCUGACCUCAUGAUGCCCGCAGCACCUGGCACAGAGGGUACCCGUUCUGCUGUCCUGGCCCCAGCCCAGCUCUCUCUUCUAGAAUCCGCACCUUCCCUGGCUCCCCUCCCGGCCGACAAGAUCUGCCUCUGCUGAGGGAGGAUGAGAAAGCAUGGCCUAGGAGCUGGGUUACUCCUCCCCUCAUGUCCAGAAGGACCAAGACGACGAAAGACACGUGAGCUGUUCGGCCAAGCUCUACAACACAAGCAUCCUUUGUUCUUAGAGGUAAGAGCAACACAUAGGACUUCAGAUGUGGACAACUGAUAAAGCAAGGAACCGGUUCAUUCCCCAGGACCCGAAACCCAUGGCUGGAGAAUAUUUGCCCAAAUCAGAUCCUACCUAAGAUUGACAGCCCCCAAACUGAGACGUUAGAUCUCAUCAGUAAUAAAG